GACAUAGGUUGCGAACGUUAUCCGGAAUUAUUGGGCGUAAAGGAUGCGUAGAUGGUUUGAUAAGUUAUCAGUGGCAAAUCGGGGCUCAACCUCGUGGAAGCUGGUAAUACUGUCAUACUUGAGUGCAGGAGAAGUUAACGGAACUCUAUAUGGAGCGGUAAAAUGUGACGAUAUAUAGAAGAACACCAAUAAGGCGAAGGCAGUUAACUAUUCUGUUACUGACAUUGAGGCAUGAAAGCGUGGGGAGCAAACAGG
rnacentral:rRNA from 1 species